CCUACGGGCGGCAGCAGUGGGGGAUUUUGCACAAUGGGCGCAAGCCUGAUGCAGCGACGCCGCGUGAGGGAUGGAGGCCUUCGGGUUGUGAACCUCUGUCGCCGGUGAUGUAGGCUCUGCUUUGUGGGUGGGGUUGACGGUAGCCGGGGUAUGAAGUGCCGGCUAACUACGUGCCAGCAGCCGCGGUAAUACGUAGGGCGCGAGCGUUGUCCGGAAUUAUUGGGCGUAAAGAGCUCGUAGGCGGCUGGUCGCGUCUGUCGUGAAAUCCUCUGGCUUAACUGGGGGCGUGCGGUGGGUACGGGCCGGCUUGAGUGCGGUAGGGGAGGCUGGAAUUCCUGGUGUAGCGGUGGAAUGCGCAGAUAUCAGGAGGAACACCGGUGGCGAAGGCGGGUCUCUGGGCCGUUACUGACGCUGAGGAGCGAAAGCGUGGGGAGCGAACAGGAUUAGAUACCCCUGUAGUC
rnacentral:rRNA from 1 species